UCAGUCAUUUGGAAGCAUAUCACCCUUAAAUCUCUCUCAAUAAUACCAAGAACAGAAGUGUACAGUGUACGUAUUCUUUGUGUAAAUAUAGUGUGCUGGUGGAAUCUAAGUAAUCCCAAGGGAGGGUAAAGGGGUUUUCAAGCUUCAUACAUCACAAACAAGGUAUCAUUCCUCUAUGCUGCUGAUAUUUGAUCGAGAUCAUUGGUAGGCCGAGAAAGAGCUCCAGUAAAAUAAAUCUUAAGCUCUAGCUUCGAAGCUUUCUGGUAUCUGAUACAUUGAACAGAGGUACUUCAAGCUCAAUCACAAAAUUGCCUCACAACAAUUCAUCAUUUCUUCCCUCAAAUCACAACUCGAUCGCCUUGAUUCAUGAGCACAUACACAAACACUCCAUAUUUUUAGGUUUAUUCUUCAAACACACACUCAAGAACACAUACACAAAAUUAGAUAUGAUGAAGGGUUAUCUGAUGAACACGUUAAAGAAGACAAAAUCAGAUCGAGAUAUGGGUCUCCAAUCUCCUCCUCAGAUGACGAGCUCCUCCUCCUCCUACAGUAAUGGGACUUUUUGGCAGUCCACCCUCGAGCUUAUAUUUGAGUCAAACCAUCUACAAAGACUAGAAAUUUCAAACAAUCACUUCACUGAUGUUGCAUCUCAGGCAGCCUCCCUUCUUAAUUCUAUCAAUUUAACCUCACUUUUGUCAGUUAAAAUCACCUCAAAGUUCAAUGUCACCAUUACCAAUCGUAACCCCAAAGUUCAAUUUCACCAUUACCCUAAAGUGUCGCUGACGAAUUGAUUCUGGUUUUCACGAUGGGGAAGAAGAAAAAGAUUUGAAGAACAAAAAGAGUUUACUCGAUACUAAAGUGAAGGAGAAGAUCGGAAGCUUCAAGACUAAAAAGGUACCGAUUAGAGUUACUUGUGAGGGAAUCAAGGUUAUAGCACCCACCGGAAAAACAAUGACGACGAAAACAACUUCAGAAGCAACAAUAUAUGUAACCUAACAAGUCAAGAUAAGUAAUUUGAGCGGUGGCUAGGUGGUUAGCGAUACCAUUAUUCAGAUGACAUUAAGGGGUUAUCUGGUUGGAAAUGGGUUUGAAGGUAAUUGGGAUGGGUUUCAGUUUUGGGUAUGAUAGGUUGAAGAACAUAACUGAGCAUUAACGCGGGUGUGUUUUCCAAAUUUGUUAAAGGUGUGUUUCUUGGAGGCUUAAAGGAUUAAACUCAUAUUUUCAUGGAGGCUUAAAGGAUUUAGAAAUUUUUUUUAGGGGAAAUUGGGUUAAUGGCGUCGAGGGGAGAGAGAGAGAGAGAGAGACAGAACUCUUUUAUUUGUUAAUUAUUAAAAUAAAUAAAUAGGUAUUAAUUUUUUUAAAUGAGUAUAUAGUUUUUCCAGGUGCAAAAAUGGUCACUUAGAAGGGAAAAGACAAAUAUACCUUCAUAUGGGAGGCACAUGAAGAGGUUAACAACAACAACUUAACGGAAGUUAAAUCCAGGGACCAAUUCCACAUACAAACCACUUCAAAAGGACUAUGAAUCCAAAAAACUCAAGAUUUUGGCUAAAACCCCAAAAAUUUGCAUACCACAAUGACCAUUUUUGCAAUUUUGUCCUUAACUAAUUAAGGUGAGUACAUACAUGUCUUAUUCAUUGCUUAUACAUGAAUACCAUGAAUAUUUGUUGAUUAAUUGUUGUGUGAAUAGAUUAAGUGGUGCUACGGAUAUGAACUCCCCAUUAUUGUUACCUAGUUGUAUAAACUUCCUAACAGAACAUGCUCUAUAGUUCGACAAUUGUCUAGACAUUGGAUCCAAAGCGGGUAUGAACUCCCUAUAUGGAAGUGAAAGGGGUAUGAACUCCUCAUGAUUGGUGUCUACGGGUUUGAACUCCCCAUAUAACGUGUUUAGGGGUAUGAACAUCCCAAUUGAACUCCUCAUAUAACUUGUUUAGGGGUAUAAACAUCCCAAUUGUUUGCUGUAACUUGAAAUCUUGUAUGCUUAAUAUUAUUGGUUGAAUUGUUGAGAACUAA